rnacentral:pre_miRNA from 1 species
UACCCUGUAGAUCCGAAUUUGUGUAAGGAAUUUUGUGAUCACAAAUUCGUAUCUAGGGGAAUA